ensembl:lncRNA
UGAACUAUCACUAUGAAUUGCUGUAUUAACAAUGUAUAAUCUCAUUUCAGGCAUAUUCAGAAGCAAAGUUUACAAACAUUUAUCAUAAAAUAUUAAUAGUAAGUAGCAAGAAAAAUAAAAUUUUGUUAAUCCGGAACUAUCUUGCAAUAUUAAUAAGAAUAUUUAGGGCUGAAAGCUAUUGGUACAAACUGGAAUGAUGAAAUACAUCUUUACCAAAUGCAGAUGCAUUUUUUUGUAUCACAUAUAUCUCCUCUAAUUUUUAUUAGCAGUGCCUUGAGUUGGGAGAAAUUUUAACACCUAGAUGUACCAUGUAAAAGUAAUAACUAUAUAAUUUUUGAAAACUGUUUCAGUUUAAAUGGAAGCAUUCCUUAGCUGUAUAAUGAUUCUUAGCAUCUUCCUUUUAAAUGUAGUUCUCAAAAAGGAUAAAUACAUUAAACUCUGAAAAGUUUUGAUAUAUUUUCUGGCACAUCUGCAAUUGGUUAUUAUAAACUUUAAAUACUUAGUCAUUUCUUUCUUAAUACAUAAAUGAAUUUAUAUAUACUCUUCCUAAAGUUCUGGAAAGACUUAGGAAUAGAAAGUCCUAGGAACUUUUAAAGAGUAGGAGAACUGUAUUCUUUUUCUCCCAAAACAAAAAUUCAACUCUUCUACAAAAUUCACAGGUACAUAAACAUACUAUGUAAAGCAAAAUGGAACAUCAAGAGGGAUGCAGGGUGUGGGUUCCUAGAACUCUUCCUGUUCCCUCUUGGUCCCCACACGGAACCUCAGGAUCUGGACCACUCAUCUCCGUAACCUUUGACCCUGUCACCUGUUCAUUUCCAUCCUCACAACAGAACAGCUCCUUUGCUGCUCACUCCACACAUAUCUUCUCGGUCCACACUCACUCCACCACCAGUUGCCCCACCAUCCUAAAAAUGGUCAUUCCCUCAGUUCUGAUGGUCUCAGCUAGACAGUUUGGAAAGGAAUAGUUUAAGCACACCCUGGCUCAGUUUUAAAUGAGUGACAGACUUGCCUUAUGCUUCUUGGAUUUCAAAAUUUGCAUUUUAGGCUCAAUAUUUAGCUUACAAGAUUUCAAAUUAUGUACCAAAGUGAUAUGUCUUAGGCGGUACAAAUGAAAGAGUUGUAUCAAGGAAGGGCUUUGGGGCCCCUGAAGUGAUACACAUAGAAUAUUGUUUCUGUGUGACUUGAGUCAAAAUCCUCCUGAGGAAACCCAGAUGGACCUGCAUCCCUGAGCCUGCUCCAGGACCAACCCAGAGCUCCUAAUCCAACAUGUCAAUGUAGUCAUCCUUUCAAUCUCACUUUAAAGUCAAUGUGGAACCCAGGUACUAUGUGUAUCUUACAUGUCUGGUAAGAUUUUCCUUUAAUUUCUUCCCCUCACAUUUUUUGGCCGUGAUGAGCACAGGUGGGCAGGUCUUUGUUUCCUUGGCAACCAGACAAAGCCUUGGCUGGUCACCUGCAGUGUGAUGUGAAAGGCACGAUGAGGGAGUCAUGGGCUAGCCCUCGAGGAGGGUUAGGGGUGCAGAGCGAGCCAAGUGGCGGACGGCAGUCCAGGCAAGCAGCCCUCCUCUGCCCCAUGUCCUCAGACUCAGAGCACAGGUGUGGGCUGUACCUCUCCCCUUUACAAAGCAAAGUCUAAGCAGAAUACAAGCUAAAAAUCAGGCAGGCUUUUCUCAGUUCAUCACCCAGUCUCUAUCAGAAAUGGCGUUCCCCACCCAUCCCACCAUAGAGAUCCAGAGAAGGCAGGAGGCUGGCUAUCUCUCAAGGAGAAAGGGGUAAUGAUAACAAUGACCAAUAUUUCAACCAGCAGUUAGUGCUCACCAUAUAUGAGGCACCAUCAAAGCGCCCUGUACAUACUAAUACAUUUAAUGCUCUCAACAAACCCAGAGUUAAAUAUUAUUAAUAUUCUAGUGUUACAGAUGAGGAAACUGCAGCCCAAAGUUACAGAGCUUGGGAAAGCCAGGAUUUGAACAACUGGAUUCCACGCUUCUACCCAUUAUGAACACUGCCUCCUUUGGCAUGAGUGUCCAUGGAGAAGCAGCUGGUCUGGACUGGUCCCUGGACUCCUGGUGCUGGCAUUCCCGAGGCCAUCAUGCCCACACCCAGUGCUGAAAUCUGUAGUCAUAGUCAGCUGCCUCUACUUGCAAUGAUCCCACUCAGAGGCGCCUCUUUGUUUCUGCGAAUGCUCCCUGCGGUCCCUGCAGACCAAGUGCAAUCUGUGGGGUCCAGGCCCUACCAGGGGCUGACCUUCUAGACGUUGUCUCCACCAGUGGUGCACCAUCACCCUGGCACCAUGUUGACCUGCAGUGUGCUUAGAGCUUCUCCUGAAGAUUGAACCCCUUCCUUUCAUCUGCGUAUCCUCAGUGGCUAUGACAGUUCCGCACUGUUUUGAAGUUACGAUGCUCUGCAUAUUUCAGCUUCAGUAACAAACGAGGCUGAGAUGGUUUUGAAAUUACUC